CCUCCAUCCAGCAUUAACAAGAAACAAGUUUUCACAAGAGGAGGGGUGCACACACAGUGUGAGCACACACUACCAACCAUACCUUCAAACAGCUAAAGUGUUUGUGAAGUAAGAAGUAUCCAGGGAAAUAAAAACAUGACAGAGAAGAAUUAAAACAAGAGGAAGAGCUGCAGCAAGAGCCACCCAUGUAGCAGGUCACACUGACACUCAAGACAUUCAACACAGGAACAAAGGUAACUGCUCUCUGUUAUCAUGUGCAAUGGCAACAGCAGUAAAUAGAGUAUCCAAGGGCUUUCUGACUUAAUCACAGGCUUGCAUCUUAGAAUCAGUAGCCACUGCUGUAGAGAAAGGGAAAUAAAAUGCCUUAACUCAAA